rnacentral:lncRNA from 1 species
GAGAAGAGGCUGUGCUUCGGCGCUCCGGCUCCUCAGAGAGCCUCGGCUAGGUGUGGAAACAGGAAGAGAACUAGAACUGGAAGUAAAGCAUUGAAGAUGUGACUGAAUUGCUGCAAUCUCAUGAUCAAAUUUGAAUGGAUGAGGAGUUGCUUUUUAGGGAUGAGCAAAGAAAGUGGUUUCUCGAGAUGGAAUCUACUGGUGAAGUUGCUGUGAACAUUGUUAAAAUGCCAAUAAAGGAUUUAGGAAUUACAGAAACCUGGUUGAUAAAGCAGUGCCAGGGUGUGAGAGAGUUGACUUCAAUUUUGAAAUAAGUUCCACUGGCUGGGUGUGGUGGCUCACACCUGCAAUCCCAGUACUUUAGGAGGCCGAGACUGGUAGAUCAUUUGAGGUCAGGAGUUCAAGACCAGCCUUGCCAACAUGGUGAAACCCCACCUCUACCAAAUUAGCCAGGUGUGGUGCACACCUGUAGUCCCAGCUACUUGGGAAGCUGAGGCAGGAGAAUCUCUUGAACCAGGGAGGAGGAGGUUGCAGUAAGCCGAGAUGGCGCCCCUGCACUCCAGCCUGGGUGACAGAGUGAGACCUUGCGUUUAAAAAAAAAAAAAAAGGAAAAGGAAAAAAAAGUUCUACUGUGGGUAAAAUGCUAUCAUGCUAUCAAACAGCAUCACAUGCUACAGAGAAGUCUUGUGAAAGGAUGUCAGUGUGGCAAACUUCAUUGUCUUUUAAGAAAUUGCCACAGCUAUCGUAAUCUUCAACCACCACCACCCUGAUGAGUCAGUAGCCAUCGUUAACGUUGGCGUUGCUCCUUGAGGGCAGGACAGUUCUUAUGGCUUUAUCCGUUGCGUAAGCACAGAGAGGUCUGCGAGGUCAAAACUAUUGUCAUGAUAGCAAGAUGCCUGUCUUUUUCAUUUAUUCUCACGGUGUGCAGAGGCUACAUGAUGUGUGAUGACAUCCUCAUUGAUGUUAAUGAAUGGUGCUAUACUUGAAUUUUCUAAGGUGUCAUUAGGUAGGUUUAGGUAUGCAUACUUGUUUUUAGAAAUUAUUUUUUUCCUUUUUCCCAUUUUUAGAAAUCAACUCAUUUUUUAGGUUAUGCCUUCAGUAAUCUUUGCAACCUCAAUAUUGUGUAAUGGUUACUUUAAAAUACUGUAGUUUUCUUUGUGCCUA